GGGGAAAUAAUAUAAUUGGUAGUAUACUGUGUUUGCAUCACAGCAGUCAGAGUUCGAUUCUCUGUUUCUCCA